CCUACGGGAGGCAGCAGUGGGGGAUAUUGGACAAUGGGGGGAACCCUGAUCCAGCGACGCCGCGUGAGUGAAGAAGUAUUUCGGUAUGUAAAGCUCUGUCAGCAGGGAAGAAAGAAAUGACGGUACCUGACCAAGAAGCCCCGGCUAACUACGUGCCAGCAGCCGCGGUAAUACGUAGGGGGCAAGCGUUAUCCGGAAUGAAUGGGUGUAAAGGGAGCGUAGACGGUUAAGUAAGUCUGGAGUGAAAGGCCGGGGGCCAACCCCGGGACUGCUCUGGAAACUAUUGAACUUGAGUGCAGGAGAGGUAAGCGGAAUUUCUAGUGUAGCGGUGAAAUGCGUAGAUAUUAGGAGGAACACCAGUGGCGAAGGCGGCUUACUGGACUGUAACUGACGUUGAGGCUCGAAAGCGUGGGGAGCAAACAGGAUUAGAUACCCCUGUAGUC
rnacentral:rRNA from 1 species